GUCCACGCCCUAAACGAUGUCUACUAGUUGUUGGUGGAGUAAAAUCCAUGAGUAACGCAGCUAACGCGUGAAGUAGACCGCCUGGGGAGUACGGUCGCAAGAUUAAAACUCAAAUGAAUUGACGGGGGCCCGCACAAGCGGUGGAGCAUGUGGUUUAAUUCGACGCAACGCGAAGAACCUUACCUGGGUUAGACAACAGUGGACAUCCUCAGAGAUGAGGCUUUCCCUUCGGGGACCGCUGGUUCAGGUGCUGCAUGGCUGUCGU
rnacentral:rRNA from 1 species